rnacentral:rRNA from 1 species
UUCGGGUCGCCGGCGAGUGGCAAACGGGUGAGUAACGCGUGGAUACCUGUCCUGUGGUGGGGAAUAACGUUUAGAAAUGAACGCUAAUACCGCAUAAGCCCUGCGGGGGAAAGAUUUACCGCCAUAGGAGGGGUCCGCGUCGGAUUAGCUAGUUGGUGGGGUAACGGCCUACCAAGGCGACGAUCCGUAGCUGGUCUGAGAGGAUGAUCAGCCACACUGGGACUGAGACACGGCCCAGACUCCUACGGGAGGCAGCAGUGGGGAAUAUUGCGCAAUGGAGGAAACUCUGACGCAGCGACGCCGCGUGGGUGAAGAAGGCCUUAGGGUUGUAAAGCCCUUUCAGUGGGAAAGAUGAUGACGGUACCCACAGAAGAAGCCCCGGCUAACUCCGUGCCAGCAGCCGCGGUAAUACGGAGGGGGCCAGCGUUGUUCGGAAUUACUGGGCGUAAAGGGCGCGUAGGCGGUUGAUCAAG